rnacentral:misc_RNA from 1 species
AACAUCGCGCACCUGCGGGAACCUGCGGAAGGAUCAUUAAUGAUUGGUGGCUAUUGCUGACUAGUGUUUCUAGUAUGUGCACGCCACACCUUCAAUCCCACUUACACCUGUGCACCUUCUGUAAUAGAUCUAUGUGGAUACGGAGAUAUGAAAGUUUGCGCUCUCGUACUCUGUUGAAGCAGUCUACUACGUUUUUUUACACACACACAAUAGUCAUUGAAUGUAUUUUUUAUUCUUAUG